GUCCCUGGAUGGCCUUGCCUACACUAGAGUGUGCUGCAUUAGCCACCACUUAGUCCCCUUCGCACGCCUGUGACGCACUGCACAUUCACAUGCAGGCGUGCUAGCAGUGUACCAUGUGCAUUAGACAUGCUUGGAAUAAGGCCGCGUGGUCCUCCAGUGUGCAGUGCCAGCAAGGACGGGGAUUGCUGGUGUGAGAGCAUCGUUCAUGCAUGCAGCCCUCCUUCUCCCACAGUGCACCUGUCACUGCUUAAAUUGCUUGUCUGGUCUGCCUUCUGCACAGGGGUCAUGUGUGCCAGAAGCCAUGUGCACAACCAGCCCUGUCCACGCCGUGGAGUUACGCGCCAUUAUCCCAGCAAUCAACUCCUUCAGCAGCAAUCAGCUUGAUUCCGCUUCAGUCACAAGCGCGUCUCAGAGGAGGCCUUCCCAUGAGCAUGCUGCCAGCUGGCCAGGAGCCGACAAGCAGGCGCUGGCAAGAUGAGAUCCAAGGCCAGCUGAAUGCUGUCAUAGGAACACUCUGAUCCUCGGCAGUGGUGUCUGAAAAUGCAAGUCAGUUGCAGGAGUAAUGCAUGUUUCCAUCAAAUCCCACAGAACUUUUUAGCCUCUCCAUCCAGGGAGUGGUUCCUUUGAUAUGAUCCAUCACCUGCUACAGAUGUGGGGCUGGAGGACGCGAUCCAUGGUGGAACAGCUAAGAAGCCCAAGGACCAGGAAAAGCAAGGAAAACUAAUACUUGAGACAUGUAGAGGGACCUGAGAAGGGUCUUGGAGUGAAUGAUGGAAGGAGGUAAAAAUGACGCCCGCUUUUAAGAGACUGGACAGGUCCAGGCAGAUGUGGAAUGAGAGGGGAAGGAGACCUGAGACCAGGCAAUUCUAAUGAGAGCUUUUCAAGGACUCAGGCAUCACAUUGAACCUAAUAACUGGCCCUGGCACCUGCCAGAUAUAGGUUAAUAGUGCUCUUUGGAGCACCUCCUACUCUCCAGCUCCUUCAUAGCCCUCACUCCAGGUACUGAACCCCUCUGCCACAGUCACCUAAGAGGACUAGAAUCCCCAGUUAGAUGGGCAAGAUGCACCUGUAAAAUAUUCAGUUACCAUUGUUCGUGUAACUGUGUUACUCUGCUUUGCCAUUGCAGCUGGCCUGAAUUUUUGUUGGUGUAUAAUAAAGCAGAAUCUGGGGAAAGUCUGUGUAAUGAGCACAAUCAAUCAUGCUGGUCUUUAAUACCAAAAACAACAACAGUUCACUCCUCCAUUCUCUCUAGGAACGCAGCCACGCAUCCCGAAAGAGCGCCCACUGGUACGGAACACGCCACCCCGUAUGUUAAGUAACAUAGGUCACUGAACACAUCACUCAAGUACACCACUCUCUGCACUGCCUCAGACUCCAGUUCAAGGUCGCUGUCCUGAUAUUCAAAGCCCUCUUUUGGAAUUGCUCAUAGCUACACAACAAGUCAGCUCUCUCCACGACCAUGACCUCUCACAGCAGCUGCGUUCCAUUGGAACAAUGAGACAUGACUGUGGGAUGUGUGUGUGGUGGGGGGACUCUGAAAUGUUAGGGGGAAUAGCAGUUGUACUAUGGAAUAGCAGUUAGUACAAUAGCAAAUAGUCCUGGAGCUGUGGGGCAAAGCUGAAGCCAAGACAGCACGGCUAUGGCGGAGAUGUUGCAGUGUUGGUACUUAGGUUGGGCGCUAUGCUACUGGUUCAGUCUCUAGUGUAGACCCAGCCAGGCCGUGCGUAUGCACAUCCAUCUAUCUAGAUAUUAGUUAUCUCACUCCAAGGCUGCAGCUGCAUCCCUUUGCCGAGCUGUCAUUGGUCAGAAAUGAUGUCAUUGCUUCCAGUGCUGGGUGGCGGUGCAUUGCUAUUGGUGGAGGGGCAGAGAUGCUGUUGUCAGCUGGAAAGGCUCCAGUCAUUCAUGUGGAGUUCAGGGCAUGUUCACUCUGUGGGCUUGGACACAUAGAUGGAGAUAAAGAUCUGGCAGAGCCAGGUGAGCGCUUGGGGCUCACUUUUAACCCUGCAUUGCUGGGACAUAACACCACAUUCCCUGCAGUGUCCCAGCAAGAGAGACCGUAGCUGGUUUAACUCAUGCAGUGCUGGGUCAGAGUGGCUAAAGCACCUUUCUUUAACCCAUGCACUGAUGAGCCAGAGCUGUAUGUCCUGUGGAUGUUCCUUCCAGAUUCCUCAGCAAAGGUCUGGAACAAUCAGAAGAGAAGCUGUCCCCAGAAAAUCCUGCCCAGGUUUUACACUGAGACCAGUGCUUGCAGUGACACGGCUUUUGGGAUUUAGACUGGUCUCUGCCUACACUCACACAGUGCAGACAGGAUCACUGAAGCUCAGAGGGCUAUACCUCCCAGUUCUGGAGAGUCCUCACGAUUUAAGGAGCUCCAAGUUACCUGGGACAUAAGCCGUGGACUUGUGAUAUGGUGCCUACCCCACACAGCUGAUGAAAGGACUAAAGUGGACCGGAGAGUCCACACAAUUAACCCACCUGGUUGCACCUGGAGGGUUGGCUAGGCCUAAUGAAUGAUGAAACCUAGCUGGGGAGGGACUAGGUGAUGCUAUAAAGAGAGGAAGUGUAGCAUAUAAUGGAGGGGGUGCAGGGAGGAACUCUGCAACUAAUCUUUUGUUACUAGGGAGGGACCAGACCUAUAAGAAAAAGCUCCUGGAGGAUGAGAAGAAAGGCUUGGUAGGAAUACAUCCAGGGAGGCAGUAUCAGAGAGUCUGUUGGAAUGACCUUUCACUGCCUUCCUAGGGCCCUGGACUGGAGCCUAGUAUGGAGGGUGGGCCUGCAUUCCACUGCCAGCCCCUGGUAAGGUGGUACAAAGCCCAAGAAAAGGGGUGUAUAACCUACUGGGCUCAGACUCAAGGGUGGCAGACCAGGUAGAGGGAUUGGACACUGGUUUGUUACUCUAUUACCCUGGAAGGGGUGAGACUACAUGUGACUCAGCGGGAGGGCUGAAUCCUGAGAAGUAGACCACUACAGGGCCAGACUGGCUGUUAACAGGGGCUGCUACAGCCGAAGAUACUGCUACACUGUGCCCAGCCAGGAGGGGGCGUGCCAGCGGUAAGUCAUCCCUUCCACAAAGUGGUGUUUUUAAACCCAUACUGUACUAGAUUACUCUCCUCUGAAUUUCCAGUCAAAUGCAG